GCUGGCGGCAGGCCUAACACAUGCAAGUCGAGCGGUAACAUUUCUAGCUUGCUAGAAGAUGACGAGCGGCGGACGGGUGAGUAACGCGUAGAAAUCUACCUAGUAGUGGGGGAUAGCCCAGAGAAAUUUGGAUUAAUACCGCAUACGCCCUACGGGGGAAAGCGGGGGAUCUUCGGACCUAGUGCUAUUAGAUGAGUCUGCGUCGGAUUAGCUUGUUGGUGAGGUAAUGGCUCACCAAGGCGACGAUCCGUAGCUGGUCUGAGAGGAUGACCAGCCACACUGGAACUGAGACACGGUCCAGACUCCUACGGGAGGCAGCAGUGGGGAAUAUUGCACAAUGGGCGCAAGCCUGAUGCAGCUAUGCCGCGUGUGUGAAGAAGGCCUUAGGGUUGUAAAGCACUUUCAGCAGUGAGGAAAGGGGUGUCGUUAAUAGCGCCAUCCUGUGACGUUAACUGCAGAAGAAGGACCGGCUAACUCCGUG
rnacentral:rRNA from 1 species